rnacentral:rRNA from 1 species
GACGAACGCUGGCGGCGUGCCUAAUACAUGCAAGUCGAACGCACUCUCGUUUAGAUUGAAGGAGCUUGCUCCUGAUUGAUAAACAUUUGAGUGAGUGGCGGACGGGUGAGUAACACGUGGGUAACCUGCCCUAAAGUGGGGGAUAACAUUUGGAAACAGAUGCUAAUACCGCAUAAAACCUAACACCGCAUGGUGUAGGGUUGAAAGAUGGUUUCGGCUAUCACUUUAGGAUGGACCCGCGGUGCAUUAGUUAGUUGGUGAGGUAAAGGCUCACCAAGACCGUGAUGCAUAGCCGACCUGAGAGGGUAAUCGGCCACACUGGGACUGAGACACGGCCCAGACUCCUACGGGAGGCAGCAGUAGGGAAUCUUCCACAAUGGACGAAAGUCUGAUGGAGCAACGCCGCGUGAGUGAAGAAGGUUUUCGGAUCGUAAAACUCUGUUGUUGGAGAA